GUAGGGUGCAGGCGUUAAUCGGAAUUACUGGGCGUAAAGCGUGCGCAGGCGGUCUGCUAAGAGAGAUGUGAAAUCCCCGGGCUUAACCUGGGAACUGCGUUUCUAACUGGCAGGCUUGAGUGUGGCAGAGGGGGGUGGAAUUCCACGUGUAGCAGUGAAAUGCGUAGAGAUGUGGAGGAACACCGAUGGCGAAGGCAGCCCCCUGGGCUAACACUGACGCUCAUGCACGAAAGCGUGGGGAGCAAACAGGAUUAGAUACCCUGGUAGUCCACGCCCUAAACUAUGUCAACUGGUUGUCGGGGAAGCAAUUCCUUGGUAACGAAGCUAACGCGUGAAGUUGACCGCCUGGGGAGUACGGCCGCAAGGUUAAA
rnacentral:rRNA from 1 species